AUGGCCGAGGCUGAGGGCAAGGAGGACGAGCCAUGGGGGGACCUUGGGGGUGACUCAAUUGUCUCCUUCCUCUCUCCCUCCCCAGGGCUGCGGGCGGCCGUGGAGCUGACGGCGUCCGGAGGGGGCCUCGUGACACCCGGGGGGUCCCUCACCCUCCGCUGCAAGGCCUCCGGCUUCACCUUCAGCAACACCGGCAUGGGAUGGAUGCGACAGGCACCUGGGAAGGGUCUCCAGGGUGUUGCAGGGAUUAACUUCAAUGCUGGUUACACCUGGUACGCGCCGUCGGUCCAGGGUCGCUUCACCAUCUCCAGGGACAACUCCCAGAGCACGGUCACGCUGCAGAUGAAGGACCUCAAGGAGGGCGACACGGCCACCUACUACUGCGCCAAAUGUGCUGAUGGUGGUUGUGGUUGGUUUUAUGGUGCUGCUGGUGGCCCCGACCCCAUCACCUGCAUUUUGGCCAAAUCUUGA